UACUGAAUCAUAGAAUUUCUUCAAAUUCAUGAUGUCGUAAGGGAAAAUAAUGAUAAUACCUUACUAUGAGUGUCGUCCAAAUCUGGUGCCAGAAGACUCGGUAAGACCAGAGACGCAAACGUUAAUCAUCAUAAACAGGCGUAAAGGGUUUGUAGGCAGCUCUCACAAAGACAUAUACAAAAUAAAGUGUUUUAAUUGAGAGCUAGAAUCAAAAAGAGGUUAUAGUGUAUAACGCCUAGAGGAGGGCUGAUAUCCAUAGAUCCUAGGCAGAAUACUCAGGGCGAAGGCCACUCUCCACUACUGAUUGACGCUGAGAAACGAAGGUUAGGGUAGGAAAUAGGAUUAGAUACCCAGGUACUCCUUUCUGUAAACGAUGAAUGGUAGUCAUUAGUAAUAAAACUAGAGGCGAAGUUAACACAAUAACCAUUCCGCCUUGUGAGUACUACUGCAAAGUAGAAAACAAAAAAAUUAGUCGGUCUCGAAGCAAACGGAGUGAAGCAUGUUAUUUAAU
rnacentral:rRNA from 1 species